GACGAACGCGGCGGCGUGCCUAAUACAUGCAAGUCGAGCGAAGUUUUUCUGGUGCUUGCACUAGAAAAACUUAGCGGCGAACGGGUGAGUAACACGUAAAGAACCUGCCUCAUAGACUGGGACAACUAUUGGAAACGAUAGCUAAUACCGGAUAACAGUAUUUCUCGCAUGGGAGAUAUUUAAAAGUUGGUUAUGCUAACACUAUGAGAUGGCUUUGCGGUGCAUUAGCUAGUUGGUGGGGUAAAGGCCCACCAAGGCGACGAUGCAUAGCCGACCUGAGAGGGUGAUCGGCCACACUGGGACUGAGACACGGCCCAGACUCCUACGGGAGGCAGCAGUAGGGAAUCUUCCGCAAUGGGCGAAAGCCUGACGGAGCAACGCCGCGUGAGUGAAGAAGGAUUUCGGUUCGUAAAGCUCUGUGUUAGGGAAGAAUGGAUACGUAGUAACUAUACAGUACGAGGA
rnacentral:rRNA from 1 species